GGGGGGCUGGCGCAAUUGGUAGCGUGUGAGAUUCCAGAAAUGGAGUAUCCUCAAGGUUGGGUGUUCAAAUCACCCGUCCCUCA